CAGGUCUGCUCUAGGGAUUUCCAUCUGGUUACCACCACCCACUGGACACCAUUCUCCUAGCUCUCUUGCCAUGGUCCUUUUCAUCUGCAACACCGCACAGACCCAGAGCUUUAGACACUUUGACCAGCUCUUUGUCUGCUUUGGAGGUCAGCAGAAGGGAAGGCUGUCUACAAACAGAGUGGUUGGCCCUCUGGUUAAUGGAUGCCUUCACCUUGGCGUACCAGACAAAAGGCGAGCCAUGCCUCCACUCAGAGUGUUGUGUCCACCUUGGAGAUUGUAUCCUUCUGUGUGUUGGGUAUGAACAGGUCAUUUGCGCGAGGACUGGCUCAGUGAACCUAGUUCUGGCUUUGACACUUUAACUUUGACUGAAAGUGAACGUCUUGGUUGUGUUGUGUUAUGUUUUUUUUUUGUGUUUUUUUUUUUUAAGUGAACAUUGUAAUAAUGAAAAAUUACAAGUUUUACUCAAUUUAAAUCAUGAUUUAAUAAUUAUUUGUAAAAUAGUAAACUUAGUUUGAUGUGUUGACUAACAUUAAAGCACAUGUAAAGUA